rnacentral:snRNA from 1 species
GGAUGUGAAGGUGAACUGGCUGCGGCAUGUCACCCCACUGAUCGCUAGGGUUGACUCAGCUGAUCCAGCUGACUAGGCAAGUGUACCGUUCCUCCUUCAUGUGUGUCCCUCCCAAAGCUGCUUACUCAGUGAAAAGGACAACCUUCCCCCAGCAGAGGAGGACUGGUCUUCCUGUGCUCCCUGCUAGAACAUCCAAACAAGCUCUCAAGUAUCCUAUUAUGAGAUCCCUGGUAAUCAACAGUAGUAUCUCAAACUCAGUAGAAAUUUUUUUAAGAGAUCUCUUUUGACGAAAAAAUAAAUAUGUUAU